UACGUAGGGGGCAAGCGUUGUCCGGAUUUACUGGGUGUAAAGGGUGCUCAGGCGGGUUUGUAAGUCAGUGGUGAAAUCCCGGAGCUUAACUCCGGAACUGCCAUUGAUACUGCAAGCCUCGAGUUUGGAAGAGGUUGAUGGAAUAUCUGGUGUAGCAGUGAAAUGCGUAGAUAUCAGAUAGAACACCAAUGGCGAAGGCAGUCAACUGGUCCAAUACUGACGCUAAAGCACGAAAGUGUGGGUAGCAAACAGG
rnacentral:rRNA from 1 species